CCCCUCUCAGGACAGCACCUGGAGAGUUUCCAGUACUCUACCAGUUUCACCGAUGGGAGGGGGAGUCAAGCUGAGGCAUACCCAUUCCAUUCUCAGCUUGGGCAGUGGCUAGCAAGUGGAAGGCAAUCUGCUACAAGU